rnacentral:lncRNA from 1 species
UCCUUACUGAGAAAUGACUACCAGGUUUAUCAAACUGAACAAGUGUGAGGGAAAGGGAGGGAAAAGAAGAAAGAGGGAGUGGAUCUAUUUAAAAAUUCAGAGCUGUGGACUCAUUUGUGUCUACAGAACUGUAAGGACACAGACCAGACAGAUGGUAGGAGCUUGGAAAUUUCAGGACUUUGAUCUGCUCUUACAGGGAGUGUCAGAUGUCAAGGGAGAACUGUUGCUGACAGAACAGUGACUCAAGAUGAAUUCCUGGGAAUCUGGAGGAUGGACAUCUGAAACACAAUUCUGAGAACCUCAUCCACAACCACCACAGCUAAAUAAGUGAUUGUUCAGCACACAUGAGUAAUUUGUUUAACAGUAAGCUUAUGUGACUGUAGAGGUAAUACACCUGUUUCAAUUUUGAUUAACCAAGAUUCAUUCCAAUUUGUCUUUUUUUUUAGUUGCUUAUUUGACCAUUAUUUCACAUUUAUAUAAGUGAAAAGUGAAGUGAUUGUCACAUGUGAUACACAGCAGCACAUGGUGCACACAGUGAAAUUUGUCCUACAUUUACAUUUACGGCAUUUGGCAGACGCCCUUAUCCAGAGCGACGUGCUUUCAAGUUACCAUCGAUGAAGAGAUCAAUUCCGGUUCACUAGGACCCCAACUAUGAAUACAUCUAUUUUAUUCACUAUGUCGUAGAUUCUGUAUACAAAGUGCGACAACAAGAAAAUUACAAUUUAAUCUAAAUAUUCUUUAAAGAGGAAGGUCUUGAGCUGUCGUUUGAAGGUGCUCAGUGACUGAGCUGUUCUGACCUCGAGGGGAAGUUCAUUCCACCACCAUUCCACCACCGAGGGGCCAAGACCCAUCACCCUGAGUGAGCAGUGGACAGCCAUGACCGGCGCCCGGGGAGCAGUGUGUGAGGAUGGUGCUUUGCUCAGUGGCACCUUGGCCGAUUGGGAUUCAAACCGGGAACCUUCUGAUUAUGGGGCCGCUUCCUUAACCGCUAGGCCACUACUGCCCCUGGUCACCACUGCCCCUAUCACCACUGCCCCUAUUCAUUUUAAUUUUACAACUGAAUAUUUAAAAGUGUAUAUGUGGAACUAUUAAUUAACUGGCUCAUGCAUAAACAUUUUUUAAAAUCUGUGUAUAAAGCAAUAAACCUUAGUUAGCCAUCCCUUGGAAUUUUCGA